rnacentral:tRNA from 1 species
GGGGAUUUAGCUCAGUGGUAGAGCGCUUGCCUAGCAAGCGCGAGGACCUGGGUUCGGUCCCCAGCUCCG